AGCACAUUAGCACACAGCACUCAACUGCAGAACAAGAACGUGAACGGAUGCAAAAUGGACAUAAGAAACUUUUUCAAGAAAGAGUCAGGGCAGAGGAGCACAGAAAGUGGGAGGGCAGAGGCUUCUACUGGAAAGGUGCGAGCACGGCGAACAUUCUCCUGAACCUCACCAAGAUCCAGGGAGUCAAAAUGGCACAGAGGAAGACGCUGGCCCUGGAGAAAGAUAUACCAAAAUAUGUCUUUGUUAGAUGAGGUGGCGACUUGUCCAGGGUGUACACCGCCUUCCACCCGAUUGUAGCUGAGAUAGGCUCCAGCGCCCCCCGCGACCCCGAAGGGAAUAAGCGGUAGAAAAUGGAUGGAUGGAUAGAUGGGUUUUUUUCUAUUAGGGGUGUGCUAUCUUGGACAACUCACAUUUUGAUUGACAAGGCUACAAUUCGAUUAUUCAACGAAUAUUACGAUCGAUUGUCGAUUAAGGUUUUUCCCCCAUCAACUUAAGAGCACCCCAACUUACCGGUAAGUGUUUUGAGAACAUUUGAGAUUGUUAUGCUUUAAGUUGCAAGUAAAGUUACAAACAUUCCCGCCUUUAGUUGACUUAAAACAUUUCAAAGUGAAUUUCAUAGUGAACUUUGUCAGAUUUGCCAAAAACAUUGUGUCUUACUCACUUGCAUUAGUUUGCAGCUACAAAUGGACACGACUUUGUUUUUCCAACCAUUGGAAGGAAGAAAGUGAGUAUGAAGGACAGUGCAAAGAAAAAGAAGAAGAAGAAGA